ensembl:lncRNA
CAUACCUGCAGAGAAUUGUUAAAGAUUGUCCAGAGCUCUCUCCUCUCCUGGACAUGAAGCCUUUCCUGUCAGUGAUGCAUGCAAAGGCCCACUCUUGGAAAUGUGAGGUAAACUGUUUUCCAGAACAUGAAGGUACCAAUUUGUGACUUGGAUAUGUAUGAUCAGUGAUUAUGAAUUUGUGUGUACAUUCUAAAAACACAUUUGAGAUAUGUUUGUUUUUAAUCCUGUAAAAAUAUUUUAUCUCCAUGUUCAAGAUUAAAUGGGGUGGUCGAAACCAAGAAGGAGCAGGCACCACCCUGGGGGAAGAGGUCGAACAAGUUAACAGCUUUUUGUCGAGAACUGCUAUAUGCAGUAAAUACAUGACCAAAGGAGGCAAGUAUAUAACUGCAAAGAUAUACAAUCCAAAGUUAGAAGUCAAAGCUACUUACAAAAAAAAUAUUUGAACAGCCUUAGUAUUCAACUUUUGCAUGAUCCUGUGUCAUCCACAUCGUUGUUAAUGCAAGCCCAAGACCAUCUUCAUAUCAGCCUUUAAAAAAAUGAUAAAGUGAAAAAAAGUAUGCAACAUUUAGGGGAGCUAUUGAUUAUUUAUAUUAUUAUUAUUUUUAUUUUUAUUUAUUUUUUAGCCAGAACAGACAUGAUUACAAUCCAGGCCAUGGCAUGGAAUCAGCGCAAAAUACGGAAACUUGCAAAAAGCGCUGUCCCUAAGAUUUAAAAAGGUAUAUUUCUAAAUUACUUUUCUCUUUUAUAGGUGAAAGCUUUCGUUUCUUUUAAUGUUUAAUUUGGCUGUAGUGUUUGUUGUGCAAACAAGUAGGCAAGCUGUGUAGAACAACCACUAGAAAGUCAAAAGCAUGAAUUUCAAAACAAAGUUUACUUAUGAAAAUGUUAUACACUUUUCCAUUUGAAAAAGGCUCAUUAGUCCUUUAUGAAUGUUAUUUAUUUAUUUAUUUUCUGUUUUAAUAAAUGCACUUUAUGGGAUUGUUAUUCAUUAGACAAAAAGCAAAAAAAUUCAGGAGGAGUCCUUAAAUCUUGAUGCAAUAAAGACAGACUUGGCAGUAACACAUGACACGCUUAUAGAUUGGACCAAUGAAAUCCAGCAAUGGGCUGAUACAGCAACAAGUGAGGAGAACACAGACAGUCAGCAGGUGCUCCAGAAGACUAUUGAGACGCUUUAUGUGAGCAUCAGGCAGAGAAAGCAAGAUCUUUACCGUCAAUCAGAUGGGAACAAGAGAAGACACAAACUCCGAAGAAAGAUUUUGGAAGAAAAAGCCAAAUUUUGUGCAGCUGUAGAUGACUACAACAGGGCAGCAACUGAAAAACUGCAGUCAGCUGAUACAAUACUGGCAUCUGAGAGCUAUGCAUGGCCAUGGGUCCUUGAUGAACGUGGUAUGUCUUGUUACUCAUUUAAAUUCGGAUGAAUGUACUGUGUUUAUGUAGCAGCUUAUCUGUUUACAGUGGAUAUUGUUUGCAACUGUUGUACAGCAGGAUAUUUUUGCAUGUUUCCUACAGUGUGUAUGCAUUUUGUCCGGCUAUAGCAAGCUUGUUCUGCAAUAGUGUAAGCACAUCUAGGACCGGUUUCACAGACAAGAGCUUAGACUAAGCUAGGAUUAGGUCAUAGGUUUAAGAUUUAAGUAGCUUUUAUAAAUGUGCCAUAGGAAACAAAAACAUUACUGGUGCGCUUCUUGCGACCAAACAAUAGCAUUAACAAAUUUUUAAGAUAUGUAAGUGCAGAUGGGUUUCAUCUUCACAGAUAAUCUUGCAACCAAAAAAGGCCUUUGACCAACUGAUGCUGCUGAACCGGCUUACUGAAGAGGAGUGCAUUGUUCUGAAAGAAAUCCGGAAUCACUGGAAAAAGCCUUACAAGGGAGCAUUCUCUUCUAAAUGAUCUUUUAAGUCAUGUUGCUGUUGAGAUAAA